UAGUCAUAUGCUUGUCUCAAAGAUUAAGCCAUGCAUGUCUAAGUAUAAAUAGUAUACAGUGAAACUGCGAAUGGCUCAUUAAAACAGUUAUAGUUUAUUUGAUAAUGGAAAAUUACAUGGAUAACCGUGGUAAUUCUAGAGCUAAUACAUGCUACCAGCCCAACUUUAAGGAAGGGCCGUAUUUAUUAGAUACUAAACCGAUUGCUGAAAGGCAUCGUGCUGAAUCACAGUAACUGAUCGAAUCGGCGCGCAAGCGGCGAUAAAUCAUUCAAGUUUCUGCCCUAUCAGCUUUCGAUGGUAGUGUAUUGGACUACCAUGGCAGUCACGGGUAACGGAGAAUUAGGGUUCGGUUCCGGAGAGGGAGCCUGAGAAACGGCUACCACAUCUAAGGAAGGCAGCAGGCGCGUAAAUUGCCCAAUCCUGAUUCAGGGAGGUAGUGACAAGAAAUAACAACCUGGGAGCAUCACGCUCUACGGGAUUGCAAUGAGAACAAUUUAGAUCACUUAGCGAGGAACAAUU
rnacentral:rRNA from 1 species